rnacentral:rRNA from 1 species
CCUACGGGUGGCAGCAGUGGGGAAUAUUGGACAAUGGGCGAAAGCCUGAUCCAGCCAUGCCGCGUGUGUGAUGAAGGCCUUCGGGUUGUAAAGCACUUUCAGUGGGGAAGAAAGCCUUGGGGCUAAUACCCUCGAGGAAGGACAUCACCCACAGAAGAAGCACCGGCUAACUCCGUGCCAGCAGCCGCGGUAAUACGGAGGGUGCGAGCGUUAAUCGGAAUUACUGGGCGUAAAGCGCGCGUAGGCGGUCUGAUAAGCCGGUUGUGAAAGCCCCGGGCUCAACCUGGGAACGGCAUCCGGAACUGUCAGGCUAGAGUGCAGGAGAGGAAGGUAGAAUUCCCGGUGUAGCGGUGAAAUGCGUAGAGAUCGGGAGGAAUACCAGUGGCGAAGGCGGCCUUCUGGACUGACACUGACGCUGAGGUGCGAAAGCGUGGGUAGCAAACAGGAUUAGAUACCCCAGUAGUC